UCCCUGAUGGUCCAGUGGUGAAGACGCUGCAACCCCACGGCAGGGGAUGCAGGUUCGAUCCUGGUCAGGGAA
rnacentral:tRNA from 1 species